rnacentral:rRNA from 1 species
CCUACGGGUGGCAGCAGUGAGGAAUAUUGGUCAAUGGGCGGAAGCCUGAACCAGCCAAGUAGCGUGCAGGAUGACGGCCCUACGGGUUGUAAACUGCUUUUAUACGGGAAUAACGCGCCUUACGUGUAGGGCUUUGCAGGUACCGUAUGAAUAAGGACCGGCUAAUUCCGUGCCAGCAGCCGCGGUAAUACGGAAGGUCCGGGCGUUAUCCGGAUUGAUUGGGUUUAAGGGGAGUGUAGGCUGCAGGUCAAGGGUGCUGUGAAAUGUCCGGGCUCAACCCGGGCCUUGCAGCGCGAACUGGCGUGCUUGAGUCCGCGGAAGGCAGGCGGAAUUCGUCGUGUAGCGGUGAAAUGCUUAGAUAUGACGAAGAACCCCGAUUGCGAAGGCAGCUUGCUGCAGCGGAACUGACGCUGAUGCUCGAAAGCGCGGGUAUCGAACAGGAUUAGAUACCCGAGUAGUC